GGUACCCUACGGGAGGCAGCAGUGGGGGAUAUUGCACAAUGGGGGAAACCCUGAUGCAGCGACGCCGCGUGGGUGAAGAAGUAUUUCGGUAUGUAAAGCCCUAUCAGCAGGGAAGAAAGAAGACGGUACCUGACUAAGAAGCCCCGGCUAACUACGUGCCAGCAGCCGCGGUAAUACGUAGGGGGCGAGCGUUAUCCGGAUUCACUGGCUGUAAAGGGGGCGCAGACGGCGAUGCAAGCCAGGAGUGAAAGCCCGGGGCCCAACCCCGGGACUGCUCUUGGAACUGCGUGGCUAGAGUGCAGGAG
rnacentral:rRNA from 1 species